rnacentral:rRNA from 1 species
UACGUAGGGUGCAAGCGUUGUCCGGAAUUAUUGGGCGUAAAGAGCUCGUAGGCGGCCUGUUACGUCUGCUGUGAAAUCCCGGGGCUUAACCCCGGGCGUGCAGUGGAUACGGGCAGGCUGGAGGCAGGCAGGGGAGAACGGAAUUCCCAGUGUAGAGGUGAAAUUCGUAGAUAUUGGGAAGAACACCGGUGGCGAAGGCGGCUCUCUGGACCGUAACUGACGCUGAGGCGCGAAAGCGUGGGGAGCAAACAGG